rnacentral:siRNA from 1 species
UUAUAAUUCAAGGCGGUCCGA